GGUAGCCUACCUUAGCAGAUUCUUCAGUACUGAAUUCGGACCCGUGGAGGAAGCAAUAGUAAUUAACUUUUCUAGGAGUACUGAAUUCGGACAUGUGGAUGAGAUUCCCAGAGUUAGUGUCAGAUCAUCAGUCUCCAAGAUCACCACUUACCGCCAAUAUCACUGAGAAUGCUCCUUAUAACACUCAGUCCACAUGGUGAUGCAUGCAGUGAGAGCAAUGUCCAAAGCCAGCAUGAUGAUGAGUGCAGCAGAAGCAAUGGCGAAAGCCUGCCGGAUGGUGAAUCCACCUCAAAUGGUACUUUAUGUGAUUACUGUGAGCAUACUAAAGUAUGAUUUGAUCGAGUCAUCUGCAGCAAAGCCUGAUUUGAUUGUGUCUGAACCUCCUGAAAAAAUCGAACAAGGACCAUUACAGAAGCCUGAUUUGGUCGAGUCCGCACCUACAAAGAAACUUGAUUUGAUUGAAUCCAGUACUCCUAGGAAGGCUGAUUUGGUUCAGCCUGGGCCUGCAGGGGAGCUUCAUUUGGUUGAGUCCAGACCUUCUAGGAAUUCUCAACUGAUUGAGCCUGGACCUGCAAGGAAGCUUGAUUUUAAUCAACCCUGACCAACAACAUGCUUUGUUGAUCAUCCUGUUGAAAGGCCAGCAGUCACUCCAAGCAGCUACGAGAAUGAAAU
rnacentral:lncRNA from 1 species